rnacentral:lncRNA from 1 species
GCGGCCUCCAUGUUCUACGGCAGGCUAGUGGCCGUGGCCACCCUUCGGAACCACCGGCCUCGGACGGCCCAGCGGGCUGCUGCUCAGGUUCUGGGAAGUUCUGGAUUGUUUAAUAACCAUGGACUCCAAGUACAGCAGCAACAGCAAAGGAAUCUCUCACUACAUGAAUACAUGAGUAUGGAAUUAUUGCAAGAAGCUGGUGUCUCCGUUCCCAAAGGAUAUGUGGCAAAGUCACCAGAUGAAGCUUAUGCAAUUGCCAAAAAAUUAGGUACAGAAGAAAGAAAUAAUAUGUGCAGGAUAAACUGUAACUAUGAGUAUUUCUGGCAAGUUCUCUGGGACCAGAACUCACAAGUAAUAAGAAGCAGGUUCAAAAGAUGUCGUGAUAAAGGCACAGGUUUUAGCUGGUGGUAGAGGAAAAGGAACAUUUGAAAGUGGCCUCAAAGGAGGAGUGAAGAUAGUUUUCUCUCCAGAAGAAGCAAAAGCUGUUUCUUCACAAAUGAUUGGGAAAAAAUUGUUUACCAAGCAAACGGGAGAAAAGGGCAGAAUAUGCAAUCAAGUAUUGGUCUGUGAGCGAAAAUAUCCCAGGAGAGAAUACUACUUUGCAAUAACAAUGGAAAGGUCAUUUCAAGGUCCUGUAUUAAUAGGAAGUUCACAUGGUGGUGUCAACAUUGAAGAUGUUGCUGCUGAGUCUCCUGAAGCAAUAAUUAAAGAACCUAUUGAUAUUGAAGAAGGCAUCAAAAAGGAACAAGCUCUCCAGCUUGCACAGAAGAUGGGAUUUCCACCUAAUAUUGUGGAAUCAGCAGCAGAAAACAUGGUCAAGCUUUACAGCCUUUUUCUGAAAUACGAUGCAACCAUGAUAGAAA